ensembl:snRNA U6 U6 spliceosomal RNA
GCGCCUCCUUCAGCAGCACAUAUACUAAAAUUGAAAAGGUGCAGAGAAGAUUAGCAUGGCCUCUGUGCAAGGAUGACACUCAAAUUCAUGAAGCGUUUCAUAUUUUU